GGUUGGAGGACCCUGGGCUGGGGCCUGAGGGGGAGAGGGUCGGGGGGGGCCCUCACGGGUGACUUAGGGGCCUGCUGGCUGGUGGGGUCCGGACCCGAGGGGGCUGCGGCGCAGCGGAAAGCAUCUGGCUCCUGGGCAGAGCGUCUGAUUGCGCGAGAGCCUUCAGGCCCGGAUAGCGCCGGGAGGGACAGCGUGGAGUGAUCGCCCCGUCCCGGAGCCCUGUGGGGCCACCUGUGCUCCUCACCCUCCGGUUGCCCGCAGGAUGCCGGCCCCUUCCAGCCCCACCCCAGCCUGGCGGGAGCAUCCUUUAAUGCGAGGCCUGCGGUGGUGGGCCGUGCACAAGGCGGAGAUCCUGCAUGUUUGCUGAUACUCUUCUGUGACCGGAUCUUGCCUGUACUGGGGGCGUGAGAGUCUGCGCCGGUGUUGGUUUGACGGCGGCACUGAGAGACAGGGUCAUCUUCAUGUGUCCUGGCUAGGAGAGAGGAGGGUCUCUGCACAGCAGUGUGGUGCCAGCGGCCGACCAGACAGAUGCAUGGGAAUAAGCGGACAUAGUGUCUUGUAGUUCUUUACAGCCCAUAUCACAAUUGUAAUGAAAUGUAGAAUUUGUUAAUGUCCGUCUCCUUGGCUAGAAUGUGUCAUAAGGCAGACUGCAGUCCUGCUCGUGGGGCAGCCACAGCGAUCUCAGGGCUGAUGGAGACAUCCUGUGCAUGUGUAUACCCCACAGUGUGCACAUCUUUCCUUUCAUCUUUCCUAGGGUGCGAAUAGCUAUGGGCAACUUGGCCUUGGUCAUAAGGAAGAUGUACUUUUGCCCCAGCAACUGAAUGACUUCUGUAAACCUGAGUGUAUCAGGAGGAUCACAGGAGGAGGGGGCCACUCUGCUGUGGUCACAGAUGGUGGAGGCCUUUUUGUUUGUGGUCUGAACAAAGACGGGCAACUGGGGCUUGGUCACACAGAAGAUGUUCUGUAUUUUACUGCCUGCAGGUCCCUCCUUGGCUGUCCUAUCCAACAGGUGGCCUGUGGCUGGGAUUUUACCAUUAUUCUCACAGAAAGUGGUCAAGUUCUGUCAUGUGGAUCCAACUCCUUUGGCCAGCUGGGGGUUCCUCAUGGCCCUCGAAGAUGUGUGGUUCCCCAGGCCAUUGAGCUCCUGAGAGAGAAGGUCGUUUGCAUUGCUGCUGGACUGAGGCAUGCUUUAGCUGCUACAGCAAGUGGCAUCGUGUUCCAGUGGGGGACUGGUUUGGCAUCAUCUGGACGGCGGUUGUGCCCCGGGCAGACUCUCCCACCGUUUUUGACAGCAAAGGAACCAAGCAGAGUGACAGG